rnacentral:rRNA from 1 species
CCUACGGGCCGCACCAGUGGGGAAUAUUGCACAAUGGGCGCAAGCCUGAUGCAGCCAUGCCGCGUGUAUGAAGAAGGCCUUCGGGUUGUAAAGUACUUUCAGCGAGGAGGAAGGCAUUAAGGUUAAUACCUUGGUGAUUGACGUUACUCGCAGAAGAAGCACCGGCUAACUCCGUGCCAGCAGCCGCGGUAAUACGGAGGGUGCAAGCGUUAAUCGGAAUUACUGGGCGUAAAGCGCACGCAGGCGGUCUGUCAAGUCGGAUAUGAAAUCCCCGGGCUCAACCUGGGAACUGCAUUCGAAACUGGCAGGCUAGAGUCUUGUAGAGGGGGGUAGAAUUCCAGGUGUAGCGGUGAAAUGCGUAGAGAUCUGGAGGAAUACCGGUGGCGAAGGCGGCCCCCUGGACAAAGACUGACGCUCAGGUGCGAAAGCGUGGGGAGCAAACAGGAUUAGAUACCCUCGUAGUC